UGGGGAAUCUUGGACAAUGGGGGCAACCCUGAUCCAGCGACGCCGCGUGGGUGAUGAAGGCCUUCGGGUUGUAAAGCCCUUUCGACGGGGACGAUGAUGACGGUACCCGGCGAAGAAGCACCGGCUAACUCCGUGCCAGCAGCCGCGGUAAGACGGAGGGUGCUAGCGUUGUUCGGAAUCACUGGGCGUAAAGGGCGCGUAGGCGGCGCAGCGUGUCGGCUUGUGAAAGCCCGGGGCUCAACCCCGGAGGUGCGGCCGAAACUGCUGUGCUGGAGGCCGGAAGAGGAGGGUGGAAUACCCAGUGUAGAGGUGAAAUUCGUAGAUAUUGGGUGGAACACCGGUGGCGAAAGCGGCUCUCUGGUCCGGUCCUGACGCUGAGGCGCGAAAGCGUGGGGAGCAAACAGGAUUAGAUACCCCCGUAGUCC
rnacentral:rRNA from 1 species